rnacentral:lncRNA from 1 species
AGACUUUGGACAAGCAACGAUUCUGAUGCAAGACAUUUUCGGAAUAAUAUAAGAUUUUUCAAUGGACACUUCUCAUUUACAUCUCUUUAUUGCCACCUAGACAGUGAGACCACUGACACGAAAAAAGCUGGUAUUUACACCUUUCGAGCUCAUGGCCAGAUGUAUCACAAUAUACAAUCAUUUGGAAAUAGUCGCUAUGAUCCAAAGCAUCUAGAGUUGUACUUCUACGAUGAUGAUCCAAGCCUAGAGCAUCGGUAUCGACGUUGCCGUGAAGAAAAGUACGAGCAAGACAAACAUGUAGUCACAAUUUUAACACAAAUUCUACGUGAAAACCCAUACUCUAAACAGUUUAGAAGUUUGGGACAGAAUGAAAAACUUGAUGACUACAGGCUGAUCUUGAACCUUGACCAAAGAUUAGACCAAAGAACAUACAAUGCACCAAUAACUUUAGAGGUAGCUGUAGUGUGGAUCAAGGGAAAUGAAAGAAGAAAUACCUUUGACAAGAAUGUAAUACUACAUGGAAACAACAACGAAAUACAAGGCAUCAAAUCAUACUAUGGCUGCUAUGAUCCAUUGUCUUAUCCUCUAUUCUUUCCAAGAGCUGAACUCGGUUGGCAUUCAAAUAUCCCAAGGGCCAAUACAAUAUUGGAAGAAUUGAGAAAUGAUAAUGUUGAUCGCAACAAUAGUGACAAUGACCCAGGUUAGAAUUUCAUAUACUUUUGUCUUCUAAAUUUAGUUUACUAAUAUGAAAAAACUAUAUAAAUAUUCCUCUAACUUUAGCGUUCCAAUUCUUACACAGAUUCAAGCAGUAAACUGUGGGUAACCAUGAGAGAAUAUUACUGCUAUAAAUUCCAUGCAAGACCAAGCAUAUUCAACCCAAUAUUGCAUGGUGGUAGACUUUUUCAGCAGUUUGCCGUUGAUACAUACAUCAAGAUUGAGAGCUCCAGAUUGGACUUCAUAUGGCAUUAUCAGAAAGAAAUAAGGGCAGAUCUAUACAAAGGCCUCCUGGAUAGCAUUCAAGAAGGAGAACAAAAGGGGGAUAAAGUAGGAAAAUGAACGGUGCUAGCAUCAUCAUUUAUUGGAGGGCCAAGAGAUAAAUUGUGACGAUAUCUAGAUGCUAUGGCUUUAGUACGCAAAUAUGGAAAGCCAGACAUAUUCCUAACAAUGACAUGCAACCCAAACUGGGAAGAGAUCACCCGAGAACUAGAGUUUUCACAAACACCUCAAGAUCGCCUAGAUCUCGUGGUUAGGGUUUUCAGGGCAAAACUAGAAGAAAUGAAGAAUCAAUUGUUUAAAAAGCACAUUCUUGGAAAGGUAAAGGCAUAUACCUAUGUUGUAGAGUUCCAAAAGAGAGGCCUACCUCAUGCACACUUCUUGCUGAUAAUGACCGGAAAAUACAAGUAUACAUGUCCAGAGCAAUAUGACAGAAUAAUCUAUGCCGAGCCGCCAGACAAGCACGAGUAUCCAGAUCUAUAUAAAAUGGUCAUCAAACAUAAGAUGCAUGGUCCUUGCGGCAUAUUAAAUAGAAAUUGCCCUUGCACAAAGAAUUGAGCAUCUUGCAAAAACAAUUAUCCAAGACCAUUUAAUGAAACUACAAUUCAAGGCAAGGACUCCUACCCAUUGUAUAGAAGAUGAAAUGACGGUCGCACCGAAACAGUCCAGAACUGUAAACUAGAUAAUAGAUGGGUUGUUCCUUACAACCCAUACCUAUUGCGCUUUUUCAACUGCCACAUGAAUGUUGAGGUAUGCUCAAGCAUUAAAGCCGUCAAGUAUCUGUUCAAAUACAUCUACAAGGGACAUGACCGGGCCUCUGUAUCUGUAACUGGAGCAGAUGCUGAAGGAGAAAUUGAUGAAAUUAGACAGUACAGAAACGCACGGUGGGUUACACCUCCAGAAUUAAGCAUGCAAGUGCUGAGAGCCGAUAUAUAUCUUUGACUCUAUUGGAAGUGUUUGAAGUGAGCAAUACAUCAUUUUAUAGAAAUCCAAUCCAUCCGAUCACAUUAAAAUUCAUGAGACAAGUCUCUCUGUCCCCGUUAAGUCAUAUAUGAAGGGUCAAAACAAACAGGUAUAAAAAACAUUGACUAGUACAUAAACCGUAUGUAUAAUUGGUGGUAGGUUUGCCGGUAUGUAAAAGUAAUAUUGUUUAUGCGGAUCUAUCUAUUUAUCCUAUAGUAAUCACAGAUGCUAUAGAAAAUCCCACGUUAACGAGAAAGAGAAAAUAUCUAGCCAUUGAUCCAUCGUGGCCCCCUUUUUUUAGCCGUUCAGAUUUAAAAAAGUACAAUUACUUAUUAGUUACUUGCAUUUGGUUAACUUUGCUAGGUUGUUCUAAGGAUAAUAGGUGCAAAUGGACGGUGGGGCCACUGGUGGACGUGCGUUCCUUGCCAGGGCAUGCCUACAUGAGAACUAAGGAAGACCGGCUGUGUGGACGUGGAGGAUGUGAUAUUACACGAUGCUGGAACAUGGACCGUUGCCAUGUUAAUCCUCUUGUACAAAUUAAAAUUCAUUACAAUUUUUAGGAAAAAUAUGUAUGAAUGUAUGAUCCGUUAGAGGAAAAGUGAAUAGGACGGACCAAAAUGUUGGAUCCUUUGUUGGAAAAAUGGUUUGAAUUUUGGCAAUGUAAGUAUUUCCUUGAUUUUGAGAGAGAGCCAAAUAGGAUUACAUUAUUUGUUAAUGUUCGUCUCAUAUUGAUUUUCAACCUUAAAAAAUGAUGCACUAUUUCAACUACAAUCACAUUAAACGAAACAUAAAAUUCGAUCCAUCUUGGCCUCUCGAGCUAUGUGAGUAGGAGAACAGCAUAGCAAAGAUAAACGAUCUAAUUAAUCUUCCUAGGAAGAGCUUUGAACUCUUGGAAACAACAAAAUAAAAUCAUUCAAUUCGAUUGGCAAAGUGACAAUACAUCAUCGGCACAAUGAUCAGAAAUAGCGAUUCUUGGUGAGGUACAAAUGUAUGAUCCAUUGUCGGGAAAGUAAAUAGGACGGACUAAACUUUUUGUCACAUAUUGAUUUUCAGCCACUAAAAAAAGCAAUGAGGUAAGAUAGUCAUUUGUUUCUAAAUACACAGUACAACAUAGUUAUUGUUUCUAGUCCGUUGCGGUGCGGUGGGAUAAGAAUAAAUAAUCACAUGACAAGACAUGGCAUGGGAGGCUAUGACGCAUCAUCAUGACUAGGGAAAACCAAAAGCACCAAGGAUGAUGAACAGAUUCUUGCCGAUGUCCCAUCACAGAGCAAAUAAAGCAGGAUAAAGGGGAUUGAUCUCGAACUNNNNNNNNNNNNNNNNNNNNNNNNNNNNNNNNNNNNNNNNNNNNNNNNNNNNNNNNNNNNNNNNNNNNNNNNNNNNNNNNNNNNNNNNNNNNNNNNNNNNNNNNNNNNNNNNNNNNNNNNNNNNNNNNNNNNNNNNNNNNNNNNNNNNNNNNNNNNNNNNNNNNNNNNNNNNNNNNNNNNNNNNNNNNNNNNNNNNNNNNNNNNNNNNNNNNNNNNNNNNNNNNNNNNNNNNNNNNNNNNNNNNNNNUGACGUGGUGGCGGCUCCACUUCUUCUGGUUCUCGCCCCUCAGGGGGUGGACCCAGGACGUGGUCCUUGACCUCAUUCAGGAUCCCCCAUCAAUGCCUCGUUCCGGGGUAGACAGGGCAUGCGAAGGUGUUGUCAGCGCGGCGAAAGACGUGUAGAGCAUCGCCUCGGGGGAAGGGCGUGUGGUAGCCGCGACGCCGGUUGUCAGAUGAGUCCGUCAGUUUGGGAGUCAGAGUUGAACCCAUCAGCUAGAAGGGUCACAAUCAGGGUCAACAUCUGAUGCGGUGACGAGGGCGUGAGGGUGGAGGAAGCCGCCCCCACCGUCGGAGGAGCCAUGGAACGCACCGCGGAGCCCACAAUAGCUCCGCAGCGACCAUCCACGAGUGACAGCAGGUUGAGGUUGGCGGCGUUGGAGAGCGAUCCCGACAACGAGCGCAAUGGCCACCUGAGGUCGCUGGCGUCAGAGUGGGAUACCGACGAGGAAGUGCCGCCGUAGCGGGACGACCCCACCGCGUGGACGUAGCGCCAUAGCGCUGCCGUGAAGUUGCGGGCAGUGGCGUGGCAGUAGCACAGCGACAACCCGCCACAGGAGCGCGACGACGAUGAGGAGGACCUUUAGUCCUGAAUGAUUAGUUUCGGUUGAUUUUUCGAGAGAUAGGAGGCUUACCAAGCAGAACUAAUGCUCAUAUUUUCCAAACUAAUGCUCAUAUUUCCACUAGUGAGUGCAAGGUUCCCUCCACGCAUAAGACGAUUUAUCCACCGUGGUUCCUAACCACGAGUAGAAAUGCACACAUUUACUAGGGGCGGUUCCUUAAGAGAAGUGUAUUUUCUAGGGGCAGUUCCUUAAGAUAAGUACCGAUAGAAAUCUGGUAGUGUUCAGGUACAAUGCGCGAAAGCAACUGCUAGUGACUGUAGAUAACGAUAUCCAUCGAUAGAAAUAAAGGCUAGUAUCACAUCUAAAAACUAGCUUUGAUAUUCAGCUCAGAUCCGUGCCUCUAACUUUUCGUGCUCAUUAUAUAAAUCAUAAAUUUCCUAAAAAAUUAACAGAAUCAUACAUAAAAAUCCAGAAUGUUUAUCAAAAGGUAAGAUUCAAAUCAGUGGUAGAUGUUCAGGAUUAACAACUUUCUUACUCCACAUAUUUUUGUUAGGUGAGGAGGCAUUGCAAGUUUGCAACUGUUGAAUGAAAUCCGUACUGCGAUGGAACUAGGAGGUAGUUGGUUUGAAGUAUAUACCAUUUAGAUAUCCAAUAAUCCUUCCUUUUAUUUCAAUAAAAAUAUUGGUUCCACGAUCAUCUAGGAGUAUGGUCUUGUACUCUCUUCUUGUUCGAGCUUUAUGUGAAUCCAACCCUAUGGAGCCACACCCCCAUCAAUGCCACGUGUCCCAAAUUGCUAAUCUCAACCAUCCCUUUCAUUUCUCACCCACUAACUAUACGGGAGUAAUGAGAAGUUAAAGGGACGAUUGAGAUAAGACAUGUGGCAUCCAUCAAGAUAGGGAUCCUACAUGGAACUGAAUUCAAUGCUUGAUAUCGAACCUGUCCUGAAGAUGAAAAGUUUCUCUAUAAAUUUAGACGUCCUAAACUUCAAUUCUUGUGCACACAGAAUAUACUCGCAGUCGUAGGCUCGUAGCUUAUAGACAAAUGACAUUGCAAGCAAUGGCGUUGCCCUACUUGCAAGAACUAGUCAUCUCCACACUUCUCGUUGUAUCAUUGUGCAUGUACAUUAAGUUCUGGAGGCUGAGAAACCCGUUGUACCCCAUGGACUGGCCGGUUGUGGGCAUGCUCCCUUCCAUCGUUGCCAAUCUCCACAACUUCCACGACGUACUCACUGUCUUCCUUGCCACCAACGGGUGUAACUUCAAGGCGCGAGGGCCGGUAGCAAGUGGCAUGCGGUUCUUCGUCACCGCUGAACCGGCAAACGUCCGGCACAUCUUCACCUCCAACCAUGCAAACUACCCCAAGGGCGAGGAUUUUGCUGAAAUCUUCGACAUCUUUAGCGGCACCCUCUUCACCAUUGAUGGUGAGGCCGGCCGCCAGCAGAGAGCCAUGUUCCAGAACAUCUUCAGCAAUCCACGGUUACUUGCCUUGAUGGCAAGUUGCUGCCGUGACAAGGUGGUGAACGAACUCCUCCCGUUCUUGACCCGCAUGGGGAGCACCAGGACAACGUUCGACAUGCAGGAUUUGAUCACAAGGUUGGUGUUCGACCUUACUGCCACGCCGAUCUUCGGUGUCGACCCGGGUUGCCUGUCCAUCAGCAUGCCGUCUAUCCAUGUUGCAACCGCCAUGGACACGUUCAUGGAGGUCGGCUUAUUCCGGCACACCAUGCCGGCUUGUUUCUGGAAGGUGAUGAGACGGCUAAACAUCGGUCCAGAGAGGAAGCUGGCCAUGGCGCAAACAGUGAUGCAUGCUUUCAUCAGGGAGAUGACUGAGAAGCCGAAAGCCAGGUGCGCCGAUCUCCUUGAUGAUGUGUUGGCCAUGGACAUUAUUUCUGCUAACCCAUCAGUGGGCAGAGACGAUGUCCUACAACGUAAUGUACUCAUCGGUUACAUGAUCGCCGGGCGGGACACGGUUGGUACCACGCUACCGUGGGUAUUCUACAACCUCGCCAGGAACCCCCGUGUGGUCUCUUGCAUCCGCAAGGAACUGGCACCCAUCGCAUCACUCAAGACCACUGCUCUCGCCUCCAAUAGCAUCAGCAGUAUGGUCGUCUUUGAUCCAAAGGAGACUGAACACCUAGUUUACCUUCAGGCAGCCUUAUUGGAGUCGCUCAGGUUGUACCCACCAGGCCCGAUCGAGCGCAAGGUGGUGCUAGCCGACGAUGUGCUCCCAAGUGGUCACCAGUUGUGCUCCGGUGAAACCAUCCUGAUCUCCAUCUAUGCCAUGGGUAGAAUGGAAUCCCUGUGGGGCAAGGAUUGCCAUGUGUACCGUCCGGAGAGGUGGCUGUCCGAGGACGGUGCUAAACUGCGUUACGUUCCGUCCAAUAAAUUCAUGGCGUUUAACACAGGGCCGAGGAUGUGCCUUGGCAAGGACAUAGCAAUUGCGCAGAUGAAGACCAUCGUUGCCGCGGUGGUGUGGAACUUUGAUAUGGAGGUGUUGGAAGGGCAGAGCAUCGAGCCAAAGCUGUCGUGCAUUCUUCAAUUGAAGAACGGGCUCAUGAUGAUGGUUAAGCAGAGAGAGUAAUCAAUGUGACAUGGAAUGAGCUAGGUGCAAUGCAACUACAGAUCGACUCAGUCCUGGCAUAUAUGGUUUGAACAAAAUAGUUAAAUCCAAACUUAUAAUGAAGUAAAUGGAAGCGUAACAUGUAUUUUCGUCAUUAAAUAAAGUCUACGGACGCCGUCGUCUGGCCAUCUGAAAGCUGGGAUCAUACCCAACUACAGACUCUUUGAUUUCAGUACUGAUAGUUUGUACUACUCCCUCUUUCUAAAUAAGUGAUGUUUUCAGAUUAUCUUAAGCUUAUUUGAAACUUUGAUGGCAUAUUAAUUGUUUUUCUAUGUGUAAAAGGUAUACGAGUAUAUUUAUGUUUAAUAGUAACUUCAUCAAAAGCAUCCGUUCACUUUAUGAAUAUUUUGUGACAAAAACUAGCCAUCACAGUUAUGUUUUUGAGGUAAUUUCAAUAUCAAAAACUUCAUUUAUGAGACCGGAGGAACUAACAUACAAAGACAAUGAAUGUAAAUACAAUAUGCCCUCCGGUGUCCUGGACUUCAUAAGUUGUAUCUGCAAUACUCAAGAGUGAAACGAAAGAGGGCGAUGUCAAUUUGAGUGUAUCUAAAGAGACUUAAAACAUUCAAAUGAUGAAUAUAAAUUGUAUCAAAUCAUAGUCCCUAUUAUACUUAUAUAAUUAGUACAAUUUAUUUAAGUUGGAACAUACUUUUUUUUUACCGUGUCUUGAUCCAAGUGCGCAUGUGGGUUUUGCAUGUUUUUCCUUGGUAGGAGGCACCUGACUAAUGCGGUGUCUGGAACCUUGGUUACUCCUUUUUAUUGAUUUCCUUCCUUAAGCUACCUGAGCACCCUAGAAUAGUGAUGGGCUGCCAAGGUAUUGGAUCAAAUGAAUUCAGACACCUCUAUGUAUUUAAGGUAUUGGUGUGAGUAGCGUGUAACGACUGAUUCUGUGCUGAGUCGUACCAACCAUAUCGAGGCUUUGUGCACGCUAGCUCAUUCAGGGUGAAAGUCUGCCCCGUCCGUACAUGAUAAGCUCGAGAGUCGAGACAUUGAUUCGGCAGCUGCCGUACGUGUAUGUCUUUGUCCUUCCAUUUGCUGUACGUGUACGUGCUCGUUCCGUUGGUGCUGUGGACGGAGAGCGGCUACUUAGGCAUGGACUUCUGCCGAAUCCGCAUGAUGGACAACGUCAACCAGGCCCUCGACGCCGCCUUGCCCCCGCCUUGCCCCGCGAUGAUUAGGUAGAUCGGAGGAUGUUUUUCUCGUGUUUUACCGUUGCAUUUGGUAGAUCGGAGGAUGUUUUUCUCGUGUUUUACCGUUGCAUUUGGUAGAUCGGAGGAUGUUUAGGUGACUUAGGGUUAGGUAGAUGAUUUCAAUUUUGAAUGAAAUGCAAUGGUGUUUUGUGUUAGAUGAUACGUAGUUCAGACGCAAUUGAGUCGCUGCCCGCGAUAUUGACAUGUAGAACUUGUCGAUUUAGGUAUAUAUUCAUUGAAUUGUGUAGUUGAUAUGACAUGUAUAUUUUUUGUUUGCAAUUUGUCCAAUAUGUGUAAUGUGUCUAGUUGAUAUGUCGAAUAUGUGCAAUGAGUAGUGUAUAUGACAUGGUGAAAUGUUUGUAUUUUGUAGAUGGAUCGUUUAGUUCGAUUUUUUGAUGGUGGUGUUGUGAAACAAAAUGGGGAGUUAGAGAAUAUGAAUGAAUCAAUUGAAUUCUUCGAGGGUCCUCCAAGUUUUAGUGAUUUAGUUGACCGUGUAAUGAGGAAGUAUGGAUGUAGAGUGGAUGAGAUCAGUUUGAGAGGUCGUUUUGAUUGUGGGAAAGCUAGAGCUCAUUAUGUUCUCAUGAAGUUAGCAUCCGAUGCGAAUUGGAAGCACUAUAAGGAUGUAGUUCACGAAGCUAAUGUUGCAUGUUUGGAGGUUAUAGUCGAAAUUGUUCGUAUGCCUGACCCAAAUGUUGUCAUGAGGGAGGAAGUGGCAGUAGUGAACCAUAAUGGUACCUAGGAGUCAGAAAUGUUGCAUCACGUGUUAGGUGAAACAGAACGUGAUUUUGACUUGGCUAUUGCCAAUGAUGAUUUUCCCAAUAACGUUUUUGAGAGGGAUGAAGCAAAUAUAGAUGUCGAUAAUAUCUCUAUGGGUUCUGAAGAUUGUGAAUUCGAGGAAGAUGGGGUAGUAGAUGUCGAUAAUAUCUCUAUGGUGAGAGUCCAGUGAUUAAGAAGGGGAUGAAGUUCAAUAGUCUUGAGGAAUUGAAGUUUUUCUUGGCUGACUACGCAGUGAGGUUACAUAGACCUUUUAGCAUAGUUCACUCUAACAAGAACUUAAGAUACAAUGUGAUGUGCAAGCAAGGAUGCCAUUGGCGUGUAUGGUCUCGGCUAAUAUCAAGCACCGGAUAAUGGAGAAUUUCAAAUGUUGUGUAACCGCAUACUUGUCGGUCGUCACAGCCAAAAUGAGAGCAUGUACAGUGCACAGCAAAGUACCUUGGGCGGCGUAUCCUAGGCAUUAUCCGUAAAGACAGCGAGACAUCGGUGCCAUCCCUCGUGAAGUCCAUCUUCGCCUUUAGUGGGUACCGUGUGAAGUAUUCGAAGGCUUGGCGGGCGAAGCAACACGCCGUUGCCCUGCUUUGGGGCGACUGGAAGGAGUCGUACGGCAUGGUUCCUAGGGUACUCUCAGCUAUAACCUACUACAAUCCCGGGGUUAAAUGGUGCAUCGACUCAUGUGGCAUGAUGCAUCCUGACAAUGGAGUUUUGAAGCAUAUACUGCAAAGGGUAUUUUGGUGCUUCCCUCAAUGUAGUGAGGCAUUUCAACAUUGCCGUCCUGUGAUACUUGUGGAUGGUACAUUCUUGACUGGCAAGUAUAAUGGUACAUUAAUGAUGGCAGUUGGUGUAGAUCCAAAAUAGUAGCUUGUGCCUCUUGCUUUUUCCUUGGCCGAGAGUGAGAAUAAUGAGAGUUGGUCAUGGUUUAUGAAACUUGUUCGGCGACAUGUUCUUGGACCUUUACGGAUAGUGUGUAUGAUAUCAGAUAGGCAUCAUGGGCUCCUAAAUUGUACGAAGGACCACAUGGAUGGUUUUCCACCGCUUGUGCAUAGGUGGUGCACGAGGCACUUUGCUGCCAACAUGUCGCGUCGGCAGAAGAGCAACCGUGUGAUUGGAAAAUUGAAGAUAUUAUGCAAGGUUCAUACGGAGAGAGAAUUUAGUGAGAAGUUAGAAGAUCUAGUGAAGGACUUGAACGAUGACGCAAAAGAAUGGUUGAAGGGUGAAAUGGAGGACAAGGAUAAAUGGGCGUAGGCUUUCGAUGAGGGAGGGAUGCGUUGGGGUAUUAUGACCACGAACUACUCGGAAUCACUCAACGCAGUUUUCAAAGGCAUCCGAAGUAGGCCCGUCUCUGGAAUUAUUGAAUACUCAUUCGAAAAAUGCAACGCCUACUUUGUGGACCGAUAGCAAAAGGCACGUGCAAUGUUGGAUGAAGGCUAUAGAAUUGGGAAAGUUGCAGAUGAUUAUUUAUUAGAGGCUGAGCUUAGAUCCGUGCACCACUUAGUAGAACCGUACGGGCCAGAAAGGAUGGUGUAUUCUAUAAGAAGUUACGGUACGACUAACAUUGGGGGUGAGAGUCAUGGAGGCCGACACUACAGAGUGGAUCUGAAUGAAGUUUCGUGCACCUGCAAUGUUCCACAAUUGUUGCACCUUCCAUGUUCACACUUCAUUACAGCUUGCAAGGCAAGAGGUCUUAACUAUGAAAGCCCCUUGUACAUGUCACCGUUGUACUCUAGGGAGCACACCGUACAAAUAUGGGAAUCAAGCUUUCAACCUUACCUUGAUCCGUCACAAUGGCCGGCAUAUGAAGGGGUAGGGUACGUGCCUAACCCCAAUUUGAUGAGAAAUAAAGUAGGAAGGAGGCAGAAGAAGCAUUUCACAGGCGACAUGGACGUGUCGGAAGGGAGGUUUUCUGCAGAUUAUGGCACUGGUGAUUUUGAUGUGGACAAGUCGGAAAAUCGUUGCUCGAAGUGCCCCAAGAUCAUUAGGAAUUACACGUGCCGCAAUAGAAAAUCUAAAGGCACGAAAUCUAGGGGGAACAGUAAUAGGCCGCGUUCUUCGAACAAUAGGGUAUGCGCGUUGCUCGUAUUUUGCAUGGUUAUCAUUUUAUCUUUUUUUAUAGUAGUAAAUUAUGAUAGUUACCGUACUUAUCAUAUAAUAAAGCUUUUUACUAAUGAUCUUGUUUGUUGUUUCUUUAGGAUGGCGGCCCUGGCGUACCCUCUUCUUGAGUCGGCUUACGGCUUGCAGCACCGUGCCCACCACCUCGCGGACCUAAAUGAGGUACUACAUCAGUUAUUAACAAUGGUUGGUAAUUUAUGCUAAUGAAUGCAUACCUUAGGAUGAUAAUUGCAAGAUUUUUGUAUGAAAUGUUCUUACAAAUUGAGGAUGUGCCUGUCGUUACUAUUUGCUUGUGUACAAUGUAAACAAUUUCAUACUGGAAAUGUCAUUUAUAUCAUAUUUGUGUUACUUACCACUUUAGUAGCCCUUUAUUCUCAAAUGCAUUGACUUCUCAUUUUUGUAAUAAUCUUAUAAUGUUUUGCAGGAUUUGAAACCACUCGGGGCUAAAGUGCACUCACCACUUAGGUGGGAUGAGCGGUACGCGGAGUACUUGCAGAGAGCUGGUUUUUUGGAUCUCGCUGUUCAGGUUGUCGCGGGUCUCCCUCCAAUGGACGGACCGCUGUUGACCUCUAUGGUCGACAGGUGGCGUCCAGAGACUCACACGUUCCACCUCCCGUUCGGAGAGAUGACCAUCACAAUGCAGGAUGUCGCUAUGAUACUCGGUCUUCCACUGGAUGGGCAGCUAGUGACGGGAAUUAUACAGAAUGAGAAUUGGCAUGAUAUGGUUGAAAUGCAUAUUGGGAUUAGGCCACCAGAGCCAGAGGACGGAGACAACUCCAAGAAGACCUCCGGUGUCAGCUCGGCAUGGUUGAGGGAGCACUUCAACGUUUGUCCUCCGGGAGCAAAUGACGGGGUUCUGCAGUGAUAUGCUUGAGUUUGGCUAUGGCACUUUGUCAGCACAUUCCUCCUUCCAGAUGCAGCUGGGAAUACAGUGUCUUGGAUGGUUCUCCCCAUUUUGGGUCAGCAUUGGGACAACAUAGCCCUUUAUAGUUGGGGCUCAGCGGUUCUUGUCUGGCUGUACAGGCAGCUAUGUGAGGCUUACAGGCGCACCGCGAGGGAUUCCAAUGUUGGAGGGUGCACCUAUAUGCUGCAGAUUUGGAUUUGGGAGCGAAUGCCUGUGGGUUGACCUUCCCGUCUUCGUGUCGAUGUAAGUCACAAUGGCUAAUUCCCUUUUCUGCUUUAAUGUUCGGAAAACUGUUGUAUCAUGUGACCAAUUGGACUUGCAAUUUCAGCCAUGGCAUCGAGACGAUGCUCAUCCCACAUUCUACCAUGUGUGGAAGCAUGUGCGGCCCGUUCGUGGUAAUGCUGAUAGGCGCUACAGGGCCUACACAAACGAGUUUGAUGUUGUCACGCAGUACCAGGUAAUUUGCUCACCAGAGUUUGUUAAGCUCACUUCCGUAUAAUGAUAGAUGAAAUAAGUAUUGUGUAAAAAUUUUUGAGGGUUGAAUGGAAACCGUACGACCGUGAGCAGCUAAGCCACAUCAUAUUUUCACCGAUGUGCUACAGAGACAGAGAGCUGUGGAGGUGCACGACGCCAAUGAUAUUGUACUACGUCGUAGAGUUUCAUAUGCUGCAUAGGGUGAUGCGGCAGUUUGGGAGGAUGCAACCGUGCCCUCCUUUGGAAUUAUCGACUUCGCAGCAGCUGCACAAGUAUGCAGGAAUAAAUAACUAUUGGAGGUUAUUCGAUACACGAACUGAACAUGUUAUACUAAUACUUCACUAAUCUCUGAUGCAGGAUCGACCGCAGAAAGAGGUAUAAGGAGAAUGAUUGGAGGGUGAAGUAUGGUCAGUACCUCGUCAUGUGGGAGAAUAAGCAAGGAUGCGAUCCUGAAGGUGGACUGGCGACCAGGACCAAACAAUGAGUACAUACGAUGGUAUUGUACAUCGACGAGAACUAAAGUGAAACCAUUUUGGAGUAAUGUGCCCAUUGAGGAUGCACCGUUUGACUCAGACGCCGACAUAGCUGAUGCGUAUGACACGGUGACACGCUAUGGGACACAGCCUGAGCGUGCACCUCUCCACGACUACAUGGUAAGAUUUCGGUUUGUAAUCAUAGUAUCGUAACAUUGAUCACUCAUGGAAUGAAAACUAUGCGUACAGGGACAGCAGCUUGCAAGGCUCUCAAACAAGGCGGGUGUGGUUAUGGAGCACGCCGUCGGAUCCGGUGAUGGUCUGCUUCGUCAGUUUGCAGAGGUAGAAGCCCAACCUAAUUUUCACUUAUACUCGUACUACCUUUGUAACCCUAUCAAUAUCAUAGUCGUGAAUAUAUGCUGCUUACAUGUUGCAGAGGAUUCGGAAAAGCUGCAGGCGAAUGGCCAUGAGGAUGAACUGCAUGUCGUCCUCAGAUGUGCACCACGGGGGCAAUGGCCAGGGUACUUCUUCGGGAUCACGUCGGACUCCAUUGGCGACUCCCCCCAAGGCUGCAACACCGUCCACUGCUGCAGGUCCUAGCAGGAGAUCCGAGGCAAGAAACCCGCAUCCCCUCAGGCAAGCGAGGACUCUGAAGGUGAGCAGUCUGAGGAUGACGACCCUACAUAUGGUGAGGAACUGGAGAUUUCCGGCAUGAUCGAUGCUCCACCUGUGACUCAGACACAGGGUGAGUCCAGCCAGGUACAUUCACAAGUUUCCCCAAAUUCAAUUCUAGAUUGUUAAUGUUCACUCCCGAAGUGUCAUACAAAUUUUAUGCUUUGUGCCCAAUUAUUCCAUAGGAACCUGCACCUCCUACCCGGAUGCCACGCCGGCGGCGUCUUUCCCGGGACCAUACCGACGUUGGCAGCGCCAAUGUGCUGCCCACGCAUCCAAGGAGGGAGCGUCGCCCAAGAGAUCCUUUUAGCCCUCCGGUUGAGCGGCGGUCAUGACACUGAACGUUACAUAUCUCAAGUGUGAUGCACUAGGUGUGCAAUUUAUGUUAUAUGUGUGUGCAAGACUAUUGGAACUGUCACGUGUGUAAAAGACUAAGUUGGUUGUUAGGUUUAUUUCUGUCACGUGUGUAAAAGACUAAGUUGGAUGUUAGGUUUAUUUCUGUCCGUAUAAUGUUAUAUGUUUGCUCCAUGACAUACUUGUGUUUCGUGUAUUUUUUCGUAAAUGUUCGCACUGGUAGGCUAUCGCGUACUAGACGAGAUACGGAAUAAUUUCGUGGUUCAAACUAGUUUAAGAAAAAUCAGAACAAAAAAAGCUAUUUAAGUUUCAUCAGCCGGAUUGCUGGGGCAGCUGAGUCGGCGGUAGUCUAGCAGCCCAGAAACCUACUGAAACUUUAAUGGAUUUGGCACGGGAGGGCACCCCUGCCGCCCCAGGCGGAGUGGCGCGGCAGCCCCCAUCCACCAAAACCUACUGAAAACUUUGUGCAAAUGGCGCGGCAGCGCACUCCUACCGCGCCACUCCGCUUGGCACGGCAAGCCCCCCCCCCCAAAAAAAAAACCUACUCAAACUUUGUUUCGCUUGGCGCGGCAGCGCACUCCUGCCGCGCUAGGCGGAGUGGCGCGGCAAGGCCCGCCCCCCCCGAACCUACUGAAACUUUGCUGCGUUUGGCGCGGCACCCCAACUUUGCCGCGCCACUCCGCCUGGGGCGGCAGCGGCAUUCCUGCCGUGCCACUUCCCUUGGCGCGGCAAGCCCCUCCACCCCCCGACACCUACUGAAACUUUGUUUCGGUUUGCGUGGCAGUGCACUACUGUCGCGUCACUCUGCGUGGUGCGGCAAGCCCCCACCCCACGAAACCCUACUGAAUCAUGAGGAUAGUAUUUUAUCAUGGUGUUGGAGUCCUAGUUUUCAUGGAUUCCUUUUUUUUACCGGGGUCGACCCUAAAGCCAUAAUGUCUCAAAACGCAGAGGGUAUAGAGAAACUUUUCUUUUUUCCUUUGUCUCGAACUUCGUGAAGAACUCCAUUCUAUAUCUCCAACAAAAAAGUAGGGUUGCGCCCCAGUUGUACACUCCCUUCGUUCGGAGAACCCUUAUUGAUUCUGAACUUUGUUCGCAAAGUAAGCAUCCUUUUAACGGGCCAGCCCUUUUUAAUGCGCCGCUUGACCCAGUUUUGAAAAUGAGCUUUGCUCUUCUGGGCGCCCCAACGUAUCCAGGCCAAAUCCCAACCGGCUUGGGUCGGAUAAAAAAUGCUCAAAUAUACCCAAAAAUGCUCGGAUAUACCCUACGCUCUAUCGGACCCUACCAGUAAUUAUAGAAAGAGUAUUGUCUUUUUUUAAAUAUUACAGUACUUCUUCACAAGUUUUUGUUCAAUCUUAAUUUUGAUCGAAGCUACUACUGUUUCUUUGACACUCUAGCGCUAACUACUAGCUCGGAGAGGAAACUUUGAUGCGUUUGGACAUAGUUCUCUCACAAAUGAAAAUUGUUUUUGACAACUAAUCGUAGUUCUCAGAAUAAACAUAAACAUAGUUUUCUCAUAAAUGAACAUAGUUUUCACAACUAAAGAGAAACAUGAUUCAGCAAAAUUAACACGUUCAUCUAGUCCAAGUCACCUUCAUAUAGUAACUCAUCAUCAUCAUCAUCCUCGGCAACAACAACUCCCUUCCCUUUCUUAUCGACAUUAACCUUACCAACAGGUAAAUCGGCAACAAGAGCCUUCAUCGUCUCCAUCUGUGCCUCUUCCGCUUUUUGUUGUAACUCUUCCAUUUCAAUCCUUCUCUUUCUUACCCUAACCUGCUGCAAAUAUUCUUCCCAUGAACCCUUAGGGUAUUUCGCAUUCGGAUCAACCACAUAACCUAAGCGAUCUCUUUCCUCCCUCAACCUUUGUUUCUCCAACUCCCUCUCCUCCUGCAACUUCCUCCUAUUUUCACUCUUCUCAUUUUCAGUUAGAGGUCGUGGAUACUUGGAUCUAUUCUGCCUCCAAUACUUAAUAAUAGUUUCCCUCGCAUAAAGUCCUUCAGGCUCCACUCCAGUCUCAUGCACCAUAUCUUGAUAUAUUUUCCCCCGAAGCAAGUCGUUGUCAGGGAUAGGCACAUCAUACUCCUUCCUAAUCUUUUCUUUAAGUUCUUGUUGUUUCCUUGACUUCCAUGGUUCCGAUGUAUUACCCAACUUUAAUAACAAAUCACAACGACCAGAAAAAUCUUCCCAAUCACAUGUCCUUCCCUCCUGCAACAACAAUUUCAUAUUCUUACAAAUUUGAAACAAGUUCCAACCUUAAUAACACACAAGAGACGAGUAGUUACUAACCCAGUAAUCGCCAUGUGCAUUUCCACAGAACGAACCAUAUCCAAGUUCAGAAGGCACCACACCUUGUGUUGCCAAUAUACCACACUUGCAUCUAUCACUAGGAGAGGACACACAUGGCCACGGUGCCUUUCCACUCUCGAACUCCAGCACUUGCUCCUCCGUUGGCCACAUUGCCAUUGGGCCGUAUAUAUACUCAUUGAAAUCACACAACGGCCACCCAUCCUGCAAAAAAAUGGUGACGUGAACUACUCAUACGUAAAGUAGCUAGAAAACGCUGCUCCAACUUCCAAGCAAUAACAUCAAGUAAAAGUAUGAACAAUAUACUGCAAAAUUAUAACUGCUAGCUACAUGACAUACUAAUAUUCUCAUAAUAAACUUACAUGAGUCUUUAGCGAGCAUCGAAAGAAUGGAGUAAACUUAGGUGGAUCCUCUAAGUUAGGACGCAUAAGCUUAGCAGGAACACCACACUUGCACAUGGGAGGAUCCCUCACACGCCUACAAGCAGCCUCCUGCUUCUCCUCCUCGGUCAUCCUAGGUGGGUUUGGUGGAGGAGGAACCCAACGCCUAAAGUGAUGGUAUGGUUUAAGCUCUGUGCUAUGAUAUGGGAAUAGGCGGAUCCUAGGAUCAUAUUUGUCGGGUCCAUCAAUCUACUGAAAGAAAUCACAAGGUGCGGCAGGCAUUGGAUCAAAAGUCCACUUGCAUACAUAGAAGGCUCUUCCGGCUGUCUUUGGAUGACUUGAUUGUUUCACCUCUGCUUGCACGCCACAUCUACAAAGAGGUACCGGAAGGGCAGGAGGUACGGGACCAGCACCAUUGGACUCGCCCACAUACGGACAUACCACCUACGCCGCUUGUAUUCACAACCAAACGACGUCAUCUCACCUAGACAUCAAGUGCUACAAAAUUAAUACACAAAUAAACUUUACACACGUAAUCCAAACGAGCUAUAUACAUCAUUUCGAUAAAAUGUAAACACUCCAUCUACAAAAUACAAACUCUGAAACAUAUCAACUAUAGCAACUAUAUUAAGGAACAAAAAUAUGAGACAAAUUAAUUGAACAUAUAAAAAAAUACAUGUCAUGUAAACCACACAAUUCGAUGAGUAUAUACCUAUAUCGAAAUAUUCAACAAGUUCUACACAUCAAUAUCGCGGGCAGAGACUCAAUUGCGUCUGAACUACGUAUCAUCUAACACAAAAUACCAUUGCAUUUCAUUCAAAAUUGAAAUCAUCAACCUAACCCUAAGUCACCUAAACAUCCUCCGAUCUACCAAAUGCAACGGUAAAACACGAGAAAAAGUAUGGGGAUACCUUCCACACGGAGCAGGGAUCGAUUUCCACCACUUACCCCCACCAAAAUCGCCGAAUUUUGGGUGGAUUUGGGGGUGGUGCGGCGGGGGGCGGCGCAACAAGCUAGGGGCGCUGGUCUGUCCGGAGGAGGAAGAAAGGAGGGAGGGAGGAGGAAGGGAGCCAGCGCGCUGCUGUAGCGUAGGCUCUGCCGCGCCAUGCGGGCUGGCGCGGCAAGUGCCCGCCCACGUCAGCGUGCACCUGGCGCGGCGAGUCACCGCGCGAGCGUGGUAGGGGCCCGUCGCGCCAGUGCAUGCGGCGCGGCAGAGGCUACCUGCCGCGCCAGGCGGUCUGGCGCGGCCAAAAGGGUUAUCUGCCGCAAAUAUAGUCCCGCGGAGGUUAUUUUUAAAAUAAAUAAAAAAAGGUUAAAAAUAAAAAAAAGAGAACAAAAAGAAUCAAGUCAGAUUACGGAGAGGUUCGAAUGACUUAAUUUAUUAAAGGACCACUUCACUGGACGGAUCUCCUAAUAUCCAACCUAAUUUUAAUUAUGAAAUAAUUGAAGCAUAUCGAUCUGUCAUGAACAACAAUUAUAUCAGGAUUGAAUUAGCAGUCACUGUUGAAAUUGCAAAUGACCAUCAACCAAACCUUCUUAUUAUAAGAUAACAGUAGUAAAACUGGCUUCUUUUUUCUUGUCUGUAAGACGCUCUACUCGUGUAUCAUCAUAAGAAAAAAAUCCUAAGAAUGGUAGUGAAGAUGAGCAGUAGUACCAGAGGUCGAUUUACCUAUUUGAUAGCCCUUUGCCACCUGUAGAGCUCUAGUAAACUGAUUGUUUCCUUCUGUGUUUCAUCCUGGGCAACAACAGGAAAAUUGUCAAAGGAUCAUAAAUAAAAACAAACACACAAUGCAUGUUGUUAAUAUUACUAUUGGAAAACUAAAAAAAUGUCAAGCAGUAGUAAUUUCAAGUGCCAACAGCAGGAAAAUUGUCAAAGGAUGAUAAAUAAAAACAAACACACAAUGCAUGUUGUUAAUAUUAAACUCUAAAUCUUUGGAUUUCAUCCCAUCAUCUUGACUUUCCAAUAUCACAACAUCAUUUGAAUUUUCUUCAGUGACAUGAUUUUGUACAGAAUUGAUACCAAUUUCUGCUGUGUUUGUUUUUCUCAUGUAGUGGAGUCACAAUCACAAGUCAUUGAUGCAAAUGAAAAGAGAAGGAAAAGAGAUAGAGAGCGUUAUGCCAAAAUUACAGAUGAAGAAAAGCAUGAUAAACUGAAAAAACAACAUGAAGCCUAUCAUAGAAGGAAAGGUAGAGAUGCAACACAGUACCAAAAAAAAUACACAAAAGAGAGACAGAAAUAUGCAAAUAUGCAGCUAGAACAAAAGAAAGCUAGAAUAGAACAAGCCAUAACUAACCGUGAAAUGAGGAGCAGCAAAACAACGAAAGGUUCAAUUGCAAUAGAGAAUCCUGCAUAUAUUGAAACAAAUAUGUUAGUUGAAGUCAAUACAUCUAGCCUUAAUGUUAAACACAGGAAACAUGUGACGCCAGGAGAAAGGCAAACAUUGCUAGCCCGUCAAAAUAAAAAAAUCAUAAAAAAACAAAAGGGGACAGUUUAUUCAUCAUCAGAAGAAGAUGAAACCAUGAGCGAAGAGGACAAUGACAUAGAAAUGCAAAAACAGGCAAAAAUCAUGAAUCUCGGUAAUAUUCUAAAUUCUAUACAAAACUUUCGCAUUUCAAUACAAUAUAUGCAAUACUUUAAAAUUUGAAUAGACUACAUACAUCCAUAUAUUAUACUAACAAUCUCAAUCAAACAGAAAUACCCUCUUCAGUAUGGACAACCAUAGAAGGCAUUGAUGCCCCAAAACAACUAACAAAUGAUAAAGAUAAGGGUAAGGUUAUCAACUCCAAAGUAUAAAUUCUCACAUGAUACAAAAGAAACAAAAAUAUGUAUUCACAAAAAUCUGUACAGAUAAUGAUGGAGUGAUAUUUGAACAAGACACGAACGAGGAUGAUUACAUGUUCUCAUGUCAAGGUAUGCUUCAAUACUUUAAAAAAAAUCCUUCCAUCAUUAUGUUAAUACUUUCCUAAAAAAUUUUAUAUAAAAAAAAUUCAACAAAAUUGGACACAGAUGUGGAUAUCGAAAUCAGAGAAGACGAAGAAACUACUACAAAGAUCUCAAAUCCAUAUGACAUUGUCUACAACAACGUACUAGACGACACAAACAUGCUGAAAAAUAAAAAAAUUUGCAUAUACUGUAAUGCAAAGAAAUUUGAGUAUGAAUCUGAGGGGUUAUGAUGCAGAAAACGACAUAUUAGAUUAGCCAAUCAAGAGACACCUCCUGAACUCAUGAGACUUUGGACAAGCAACGAUUCUGAUGCAAGACAUUUUUGGAACAAUAUAAGAUUUUUCAAUGGACACUUCUCAUUUACAUCUCUUUAUUGCCACCUAGACAGUGCGACCACUGACAUGAAAAAAGCUGGUAUUUACACCUUUCGAGCUCAUGGCCAGAUGUAUCACGAUAUACAAUCAUUUGGAAAUAGUUGCUCAGAUCCAAAGCAUCUAGAGUUGUACUUCUACGAUGAUGAUCCAAGCCUAGAGCAUCAGUAUCGAUGCUGCCGUGAAGAAAAGUACAAGCAAGACAAACAUGUAGUCACAAUUUUAACACAAAUUCUACGUGAAAACCCAUAAUCUAAACAGUUUAGAAGUUUGGGACAGAAUGAAAAA